AGCUCUUCUACAUCUCUGCUGCGCAGCCAUGGCCACCAAAGAAACAGUGUUUCAAGACCGAAGCGACUUUGAAUAUGUUCCAGCUCAUCUGGUACCCAAAUUCCAAAGACAGAGGUUCCUCCUCAAACUGUAUAGAAGACAUAGUGUAUGCUUGAGAGAGGAAAUCAUCACGGGAAUCACG